rnacentral:rRNA from 1 species
AUACGGAGGGUGCAAGCGUUACUCGGAAUCACUGGGCGUAAAGCGCGCGCAGGCGGCUAUUUAAGUUGGAUGUGAAAGCCUACGGCUCAACCGUAGAACUGCAUCCAAAACUAUUUAGCUAGAGUGUGGGAGAGGAAGACGGAAUUAGUUGUGUAGGGGUAAAAUCCGUAGAGAUAACUAGGAAUACCAAAAGCGAAGGCAAUCUUCUGGAACACUACUGACGCUGAGGCGCGAAAGCGUGGGGAGCAAACAGGAUUAGAAACCCUAGUAGUCC